rnacentral:rRNA from 1 species
GACAGAGGGUGCGAACGUUGUUCGGAAUUACUGGGCGUAAAGCGCACGUAGGCGGGUUCUUAAGUCGGUGGUGAAAUCCUGGAGCUCAACUCCAGAACUGCCUUCGAUACUGGGAAUCUUGAGUCCGGGAGAGGUGAGUGGAACUGCGAGUGUAGAGGUGAAAUUCGUAGAUAUUCGCAAGAACACCAGUGGCGAAGGCGGCUCACUGGCCCGGUACUGACGCUGAGGUGCGAAAGCGUGGGGAGCAAACAGG